AUUGAACGCUGGCGGCAUGCUUUACACAUGCAAGUCGAACGGUAACAGGUCUUCGGAUGCUGACGAGUGGCGAACGGGUGAGUAAUGCAUCGGAACGUGCCCAGUCGUGGGGGAUAACGCAGCGAAAGCUGCGCUAAUACCGCAUACGGUCUAUGGAUGAAAGCGGGGGACCGUAAGGCCUCGCGCGAUUGGAGCGGCCGAUGUCAGAUUAGGUAGUUGGUGGGGUAAAGGCCCACCAAGCCAACGAUCUGUAGCUGGUCUGAGAGGACGACCAGCCACACUGGGACUGAGACACGGCCCAGACUCCUACGGGAGGCAGCAGUGGGGAAUUUUGGACAAUGGGCGCAAGCCUGAUCCAGCAAUGCCGCGUGCAGGAAGAAGGCCUUCGGGUUGUAAACUGCUUUUGUACAGAACGAAACGGCUCUCUCUAAUACAGAGGGCUAAUGACGGUACCGUAAGAAUAAGCACCGGCUAACUACGUGCCAGCCGCCGCGGUAAUAC
rnacentral:rRNA from 1 species